ensembl:lncRNA F11-AS1 F11 antisense RNA 1
GGUGCUGAGCUGUGUUGAUCAACUGAAGCCCGUGACGUCUCAUCCUUGCAGUUGGAGAUAAACCUUGCUAUGCUGGAGAUUACUUAGGUGGGCCAGGAUUUCUUGAAACCAAAACUUUACUGAAUCACCUCUUCACCAUCUGUAUGCCGUGCAUUUGCUGAG